UUCAUCGGCUGCGUUGGCGGCGGAAAUGGGGCCAUCUGGCAAGCCAUCUCUCUGCUCUCAUGCCAAGCUAUAUCACCAGCAUAUUUUGUUGGUUCUUGUUGCUUUUAGGUGUUGGAAAAGAAGUUCUUUUUCGUGUUUGUGUGUGUGUGUGUGUGUUAAUUUGUUGUUGUUUCGAUUGAUUCUUAUGGUUUCCGAGGAUGAUCGAGAUGAGAUAACUUUCGUUCUUCCGAGGUUACAUACGAUGCGGAAGAUUUUUGGAGACCUGAACUGAGGAAACCUGUCGAUUGAUUCUCUUACUCUUAAAAUCGUAUUCAUCCGAUUAUGCCAACUUCUUUCGGGUGUUGUUUAUGUGGUUUGCAUCUCUCAGGCAUCUUUUAUUUGUGAAAAAAAUGGAACUUUUUUGUGAAGCGCUUAGGAAAUGACGUGCUAUAAAAUCCCUAUGAUGAUCAUCGUUCGUGAUUAAAGUAGUGGACUGACUUUUGUAUUAUGAAUUGAAUCUAUUGAUCCUGAGGGAUUUGUUUCUGAUUUUCUGUGAGAUGUCAUCGGUUUUAUAUGAAUACGUCAAUUUUCUUUCGUUUCCCCUUUUUUUUAUCUCUAAUUUUGAAAAGAUUGCAUUGUGAAUGUUAUCUCUUUUUUAUCUCUUUUAUAUGAAUAACUCAUGCAAAAUGUUUCAUGAUUCUUGAUGUUAGGUCAAUCCAUUGGAUUAGAUGUGCAUUAUUAGACCUUUUUUUUUGGCACUACAGUGAGGUAUCUGAUUCAAGGUGGUUAAUAUUUACUUGUGUUUGCCUUAAUGAGAGCUAUAUUUAGAGUUCCUUAUGGGGUCAAAGUGUUGGCACCACAGUGAGGUAUUUCUUUCAAGGUUCUACACAUGGAAGCUCCCAAUGAUUGAACAUUCGAAAUAGUUUCAGCCUUGUCUGAGUCUGAAAUAUUGCUGAUAUCUCAAUUUUGUUCUGAGGGAGCAGCUGUACACACACUCGAGGCAGGCAUUCCGAAACUGUUUUCAUGGUUUGACCAAGAACCGAUGUUAUCGGCCCGGCCGCCCUUGUACAGACUCAAGUGCCAGUAUUUGGAUUGGCCUUCCUGGGCAAUUUAUGGACUCAAAAUUUUGUAACUUCCCCCGCCCAACUGUUUCAUGUAGAUUUCUUUUUGGGCUUCCAGCAUCCCCGUUUCCUAUGUUAGGUUUGUUUAGUUUUUGCCAAUGACAAUUUCCGAGCUGGAUCUUACUUAAUAUGUAUGAUUUAUUGGUUCCUGGUAAAGAUUUGGUCAGUAAGCUUCGAAGCUAA